rnacentral:rRNA from 1 species
CUCUUUCGGGGGACACAUCAGCGGCAGACGGGUGAGUAACACGUAGGUUAACCUACCCCAGAGACAGGGAUAACCCUAGGAAACGAGGGCUAAUAUCGGAUGACCUCCGGAAGGAGGAAAGGCUCAGGCGCUCUGGGAGGGGCUUGCGGCCCAUCAGCUAGUUGGUAGGGUAAAGGCCUACCAAGGCGAAGACGGGUAAGGGGGUGUGAGAGCACGGNCCCCCACAAUGGGACUGAAACACGGCCCAUACUCCUACGGGAGGCAGCAGCAGGGAAUAUUGCACAAUAGGCGAAAGCCCUGAUGCAGCGACGCCGCGUGAGUGAAGAAGGCCUUCGGGUCGUAAAGCUCUUUUGUAGGGGAAGAGGAAGGACGGUACCCUAAGAAGAAGCGUCGGCUAACUACGUGCCAGCAGCCGCGGUAAGACGUAGGACGGCGAGCGUUAUCCGGAAUUACUGGGCGUAAAGGGCCAGCAGGCGGCUUGGGAAAGUUGUGCGUGAAAGCCUCGUGCUCAAC